UUUAUAAGAUUUAAGGGAUCAAUUGCCCGUCAUUCUCUAUGAGACAAGUCGAAACAAAGUAGGUUUAUUGGAAAGUAGGCCUAAGAGCGAUUUGUUCAGUUACGUUGAAUUGUUCCUUUGUUGGCGCUUUUUUAGUAAAUUUAUUUAUAAAAUAAGGAAAGAAAUUAUUUUAUUUACCUUUUGUAUCAGGGUUAAUUAAAAGUAAUAUUUAUUUAAAUUUCUCGAGUCAGGUAUGAGCUAAGUAGUAUAUUUCUGUUAAAAUAUGAUUAUUUAUUAUAUUAGUAAUGACAUGUUUUCGUAUUUUGUGAUAUCUAGUUAUCUAAUUAAAUUUUUAUAAAUAUUAGUCCUAGACUAAUAGGAUAGAAGAGUUAAUUUUUUUAUUAUAUAAGGAAGGUUUAUUGAGAAAGUUAGUUAGGCUUAAUAUUAGCUAUAUUUAUAUAUUUUUAUAAAUAAUCUUUUAUUUGUAAGUAUAGUCUAGUUAUGCUUAGGUUUAUAAAAAUAACAUAAAAUUUUGUUUAAUAAUGAUUAAAUUAGUAUUUAUGUGUUGUUAAAGAUCUAACUCGAUAAUUGUAUGAAUGUUUAACAAAAACAUUUCUUUUAGUUUAUUUAAGGUAAGGCCUGCCCAGUGAAUUUUUAACGGCUGCGGUAUUUUAACUGUACUAAGGUAGCAUAAUAAUUUGUUUUUUAAUUGAAAACUGGGAUGAACGGUUUUACAUAUAAUUUAUUUGAUCUUUUUAUUGUAGUAAUUUAUAUUUUGAAUAAAAAUAUUUAAAUUAUAUAAAGGGACGAUAAGACCCUAAAAGCUUUUUUAUUUAGAUCUCAUUAAUUUUGAUUUUUAACGAUAAAUUUAGUUGGGGUAACGUAAGUAUAAGUUUUAUUUUUAACUGUGACGUGUAUGAGCGGCCUGUAGAUCUUUUAUAUAAAGAUAAUUAGAGGUAGUUACUUUAGGGAUAACAGCGUAAUAAUUUUAGAGAGGCCUUAUUAAUAAAGUUGAUUACGACCUCGAUGUUGAAUUAAAAUAUCUAUUUAUUGUAGCCGGUAAAUAAGAGGGUUUGUUCAACCUUUAAUUUUUUACAUGAUUUGAGUUCAA
rnacentral:rRNA from 1 species